GACGUAGGGCGCGAGCGUUGUCCGGAUUUAUUGGGCGUAAAGAGCUCGUAGGCGGCUUGUUGCGUCGACCGUGAAAACCCGGGGCUCAACUUCGGGCUUGCGGUCGAUACGGGCGGGCUAGAGUUCGGUAGGGGAGACUGGAAUUCCUGGUGUAGCGGUGAAAUGCGCAGAUAUCAGGAGGAACACCGGUGGCGAAGGCGGGUCUCUGGGCAUCUCCUGACGCUGAGGCGCGAAAGCGUGGGGAGCAAACGGG
rnacentral:rRNA from 1 species